CUGCCCUUCGGCAAUAUCAGCUCGUUCCUUCGCCUCCUCCAGCUCGUGCUGCGCCUUGCGGCACCGCGAGAGAUUCAUGUUUGCCUGCUCCUCCUGAGAAUCAGACAGCGUUGGCACAAGUGACGCUGCCGCGCCACCAGUGACGCCUGUGGCCGUGCCACCUGCGCUGGCCUCGCAGGUGCAGCCCUGCAUUGCCAGCACUCUGUGAUUAUAUCCAGUACCAUCCACAGCAUGGCCACUCGGGGGGCAGAACAAUUACCCCGCUCACUUCCAGACUGUAGGAAGUGAAAACGGAGUCAGCCUUGGCAGAUGAACUGAGGUGACCCACGUAGGAGGGUGGAGGAUUUGCAAUACCUGUUGUCUCUUCAGCUCUUCAGUCUGCUGAGUGAAAGUAUGUUUGCCUCGAGUUAACUGAGAAAUCAAGGCCUCCUUCUCCUCCAGUUGCCGAGAGUCCCAGGAGACCUGCCUUGAAGAACACCUAGAACAUAAAAAAGGGUCAAACAGCUUGAGGCUUAUGUGGAUACAUGGCCAUUGACAGCUGAUGCAGGGUAGUACAAGACAGUCAGUAAUAACUGAGGACCUACCGUUGCUUAAAAUCUGCAUAAAGGAUUCUGCUUGGAAACCCCUUCCUGCAAAUUCGGAUGCCUUCCAGAACCCCAUUGCACCGCAGCUGAUGCAUCACCAGGCCAACCCCUCAAAAGGACUUCACAUGCAGAGGGAGCUAUUUGGGAAGUUGGUGUGGAAGCUUAACAGGCCAAUUCCUGCCAGUCCCAUGUC